rnacentral:rRNA from 1 species
GAUUAACGCUGGCGGCGUGCAUAACACAUGCAAGUCGAACGAUGAAGAUUAUUAGACUUCUUCGGAAUGAAAAUAAUUGGAUUAGUGGCGGACGGGUGAGUAACGCGUGAGUAACCUGCCUUACACAAGGGGAUAGCCGUUGGAAACGACGAAUAAUACCCUAUGAAACUAUCACUUCGCAUGAAGCGAUAGUCAAAGUGUUAGCGGUGUAAGAUGGACUUGCGUCUGAUUAGCUAGUUGGUGAGAAAAAAGCCCACCAAGGCAACGAUCAGUAGCCGGCUUGAGAGAGUGUACGGCCACAUUGGGACUGAGACACGGCCCAGACUCCGACGGGAGGCAGCAGUGGGGAAUUUUGCACAAUGGGGGAAACCCUGAUGCAGCGACGCCGCGUGAUUUAGAAGGCCUUCGGGUUGUAAAAAUCUUUUGUAUAGGAAGAAAAUGACAGUACUAUACGAAUAAGGUCCGGCUAAUUACGUG